ACACGACUACAUUAGAUACCCCCGUAGUCCUAGGCGUAAAUGAUGCGAGUUAAGUGUGGGGGCAUCUACGAGAUGGCCCUGUGCUGUAGGGUAGCCGUUAAACUCGCUGCCUGGGGAGUACGGUCGCAAGGCUGAAACUUAAAGGAAUUGGCGGGGGAGCACCGCAACGGGAGGAGCGUGCGGUUCAAUUGGAUUCAACGCCGGACAACUCACCAGGAGCGACGGUUACAUGAAGGCCAGGCUGAUGACCUUGCCUGAUUUUCCG
rnacentral:rRNA from 1 species